rnacentral:rRNA from 1 species
AAUUAGUUUAUUAAUUGUAAAAUUGUAUGAUAGGGUUAAUGAGAAUAACAUUGUCUCAAAUUUAUAAUUUAAACUUAAUUUUUCUUUGAAAAAGAAGAAAUAAUAAUAAGAGGACGAGAAGACCCCUUGAAUCUUUAUUCUAAUUUAAAAUAUUUAUAAAUAAAACAGAAUUUGACUGGGGCGGUUUAUGAAAUUUUUAACUUCAUUCUUUUAAAGUUAUUAUAUUUAUUAAAAAAAUUUUGAUCCUUUGAAAAGAUUAAUAAAUCAAGUUACUUGGGGGAUAACAGCAUAAUUUUUCUUUAGAGUUCUUAUCAACAGAAAAGUUUGUGACCUCGAUGUUGGAUUAAAUAAUUUUUAGGUGCAACAACCUUAAAAAUUUUAGUCUGUUCGACUUUUAAAGUUU